rnacentral:lncRNA from 1 species
AUAAAAUUAAGAAAUCAACAACAACAAAAAUUUACAUUCGUUACACGUUUGUAAUUUCCUCUAUCAUUUCAUAAGUCAUAUCUACUUUACUCUAAAAAAAAAAAAAAUAGCCAAAAGUUGGUAAAAAAAGAGUGUGUUUCAAGUAUUGUCUAAAGAGUAAUCUGUAUCCUAGUCUGCAGCCUAGAAUAGCAUGGGCUAUUACCAGAGUUGCAUCAAAUAAAAUGUUAUUUAAAAAGAGGGUGUGGGUUUUUGGAGAUGUUAUCUAAUUCAAAGAGUGUUCCUUGCCUUAAUAUAUGUUUUUAUGUACGAAAGCUGUUAUCAUUUUUCUCUUUAUCUACUUUGCGUGAACAUUGAAAAGGUGCACUCAAAUAAAGCUCUGAAUAUUGGAUCUAAUGGAUCUUUACUCUUUUCUUUAUUUAUAUUUAGUUAUUACUACGUAACCAAUACAGUUUUUGACUGUAUUUACAAUGAACAAUUAUUUAUUUAAUAUGAAGAGGAUCUAAAUAAAUAUGCAAGAUAAUUAAUGAAAAUUACGAAUAUAGGCAGAUUCGAGUUUAAUUGAUGAUAACCUCGCCCAAAAUUAUAGAGGCCUCAUUCAUCAGUUGGGAUUACAAGUUUUCCUAUAAAAAAGGUGUUAUAUGCCGUGAAUGGAUAACGUUAUUGCUUUUGAUUUAUUGAUUAUUUCACUGCUUUCCUCCAUACCAUUGAGACUGAAUUAGAGUGCUCGGCGUUGUAAUCAAUCGUUUCCGAUCACCAGAAUUAAAAAACAAAAAAAAUACUUGGUAUUUUCGAAAUAAUUCGAGGAAAGCGUUGCUAUUAUGUUCAGACCAUUAGCGAGACAAGUCACAUUCAACAUCAUUUCGAAAUUUUGCUUAUGGUUUACGACUGAUUUUAUACUAUAAGCUGUGUCAUCGAUAAUGUAAACCUUUUGUUUCUUGCCAAAGAAAUCUGAGCCAAUAACGUGAUAGGGAUAGGACUUUUGACUUCAAUUGUUCUACUUUCAACCUAAAAUUAAAUUAGGGCAACUUAACAAUGACCAUAUAGAGGACCAGUCAAUACUGCAGUCAUUGAUAUAGUUUUGUCCAAGAAAAGAAGAUAAUCAUUUUCUACAGUUCUUUCGUAAACUUUGACGACACUACUUUACUUAGGGACUCCAAUUACUUUGUGAUGGUGUAAGAAGAAGGAUAUACCAAUAUAAAGUUUAAUAAAAUUUACAAGAUUUGGAUGGCUAUCAAUAUGGUGUGCGACAUUGCAAGGGAACUGCAUCUUGUUCAUAUCUGAUAUAAAAUUAGAAGCAUCAGGACUUGAUUCAAUUAAAUUCUUUGAAUAAAGCCUUCUUUCUUAUUUUCAAUACAGUUUUUUUAUGCUGUAAAAAUGGGAAUUUGAUAAAGGCUUGGAUUCCAAAACCACAACGGUUAUGGGAUAUUUUUUUAAGCUUUGCCAUAAAUCUAUACUUUAUCUCCUUCUUUAUCGACGAAAAAUGAAUUAAAAUUAUAUAAAACAAUUAUACAUUGAAAU